GAUGAACGCUGGCGGCGUGCUUAACACAUGCAAGUCGAACGGAAAGGCCCUGCUUUUGUGGGGUGCUCGAGUGGCGAACGGGUGAGUAACACGUGAGUAACCUGCCCUUGACUUUGGGAUAACUUCAGGAAACUGGGGCUAAUACCGGAUAGGAGCUCCUGCUGCAUGGUGGGGGUUGGAAAGUUUCGGCGGUUGGGGAUGGACUCGCGGCUUAUCAGCUUGUUGGUGGGGUAGUGGCUUACCAAGGCUUUGACGGGUAGCCGGCCUGAGAGGGUGACCGGCCACAUUGGGACUGGGAUACGGCCCAGACUCCUACGGGAGGCAGCAGUGGGGAAUAUUGCACAAUGGGCGGAAGCCGGAUGCAGCAACGCCGCGUGCGGGAUGACGGCCUUCGGGUUGUAAACCGCUUUCGCCUGUGACGAAGCGUGAGUGACGGUAAUGGGUAAAGAAACACCGGCUAACUACGU
rnacentral:rRNA from 1 species